rnacentral:rRNA from 1 species
AUUGAACGCUGGCGGCAUGCCUUACACAUGCAAGUCGAACGGCAGCACGGGCAACCCUGUGGCGAGUGGCGAACGGGUGAGUAACAUAUCGGAACGUGCCCUGGAGUGGGGAGUAACUAGUCGAAAGACUAGCUAAUACCGCAUACGAUCUACGGAUGAAAGUGGGGAUCGCAAGACCUCAUGCUCGUGGAGCGGCCGAUAUCUGAUUAGCA